rnacentral:rRNA from 1 species
UACGUAGGGUGCAAGCGUUGUCCGGAUUUAUUGGGUUUAAAGGGUGCGUCGGCGGCCCGUUAAGUCAGUGGUGAAAACCAGCAGCUCAACUGUUGAUGUGCCAAUGAUACUGGCGGGCUAGAGUACAGACGAGGUAGGCGGAAUUGACAGUGUAGCGGUGAAAUGCAUAGAUAUUGUCAAGAACACCGAUAGCGAAGGCAGCUUGCUAGCCUGUAACUGACGCUGAGGCACGAAAGUGUGGGGAUCAAACAGG